rnacentral:rRNA from 1 species
UGGGGAAUUUUGGACAAUGGGCGAAAGCCUGAUCCAGCAAUGCCGCGUGUGUGAAGAAGGCCUUCGGGUUGUAAAGCACUUUUGUCCGGAAAGAAAUCCUUGGCUCUAAUACAGUCGGGGGAUGACGGUACCGGAAGAAUAAGCACCGGCUAACUACGUGCCAGCAGCCGCGGUAAUACGUAGGGUGCAAGCGUUAUCGGAAUUACUGGGCGUAAAGCGUGCGCAGGCGGUUUGCUAAGACCGAUGUGAAAUCCCCGGGCUCAACCUGGGAACUGCAUUGGUGACUGGCAGGCUAGAGUAUGGCAGAGGGGGGUAGAAUUCCACGUGUAGCAGUGAAAUGCGUAGAGAUGUGGAGGAAUACCGAUGGCGAAGGCAGCCCCCUGGGCCAAUACUGACGCUCAUGCACGAAAGGCGUGGGGAGCAAACAGGAUUAGUACCCUGGUAGUCCCACGCCCUAAACCGAUGGUCAACUAGUUGUUGGGGAUUCAUUUCCUUAGUAACGUAGCUAA